UACAGAGGUCCCAAGCGUUGUUCGGAUUCACUGGGCGUAAAGGGUGCGUAGGCGGUCGGGUAAGUCUGAUGUGAAAUCUCACAGCUUAACUGUGAAACUGCAUUGGAUACUAUCCGGCUCGAGGAAUGGAGGGGAGACUGGAAUUCCUGGUGUAGCGGUGAAAUGCGCAGAUAUCAGGAGGAACACCGGUGGCGAAGGCGGGUCUCUGGGCCGAUACUGACGCUGAGGAGCGAAAGCGUGGGGAGCGAACAGG
rnacentral:rRNA from 1 species